rnacentral:tRNA from 1 species
GCUGCUGUAGCACAGUCGGUAGUGCAGCUGAUUCGUAAUCAGCAGGUCGUGCGUUCAAAUCGCAUCAGCAGCUCCA